rnacentral:lncRNA from 1 species
CCAAAAGUUAAGCAUGGGUAUGAAAAUUGGACAGAACUGUUAAAAUAUUUACUUGAUUUACUUCAAAAUGCAGACAGGUAUGAUAUGAACAAAAUAAUUUCAAAACAAACAAGAAGUCAAUAUUUACAUUAAUGACAAUAGAAAAAAAUUAUUACAUGAUGUUUCCCAUCAAGACUCAUAAUAAGGGUAUAUACAAACAACACAAAAUAAUGGUUUAAUAUGGAAUAUGAUCUGAGGCAUGAAUGCAUGUUGUUCUAAAGACGACAAUUGCCACUCUUCAAGAGCAACUGGCAGUUCUUGGAAUGUGCUAGGAGAUUGUUGGCAACAUACAGCUCUUCCAAGAGCAUCCCACACAUGCUCUAUAGCAGCAAUUCUCAAUCUGUGGUGUGUGGGACCUAGUAGUAUGUGUAUAAUUUUGUUUUCUUAUUUGUAUACAAGGCAUAUUUUUGUUGACAGUACCAAAAUUUUUGAAUUUUGAGUUUGGU